rnacentral:rRNA from 9 species
AGUAGGUCGGGACACGUGUUAUCUUGACUGAAUAUGGGGGGACCAUCCUCCAAGGCUAAAUACUCCUAACUGACCGAUAGUGAACCAGUACCGUGAGGGAAAGGCGAAAAGAACCCCGGAGAGGGGAGUGAAAUAGAACCUAAAACCGUGUGCAUACAAGCAGUGGGAGCCGUAAGGUGACUGCGUACCUUUUGUAUAAUGGGUCAGCGACUUACUUUCAGUAGCAAGGUUAACCGUAUAGGGGAGCCGUAGAGAAAUCGAGUCUUAACUGGGCGAUCAGUUGCUGGAAGUAGACCCGAAACCGAGCGAUCUAUCCAUGGCCAGGGUGAAGGUUAGGUAACACUGACUGGAGGCCCGAACCCACAUCUGUUGAAAAAGAUGGGGAUGAGCUGUGGAUCGGAGUGAAAGGCUAAUCAAGCUCGGAGAUAGCUGGUUCUCCUCGAAAGCUAUUUAGGUAGCGCCUCAUGUAUCACCCUCGGGGGUAGAGCACUGUUUCGGCUAGGGGGCCAUCCCGGCUUACCAAACCGAUGCAAACUCCGAAUACCGAGGAGUGCAAUCAUGGGAGACACACGGCGGGUGCUAACGUCCGUCGUGAAGAGGGAAACAACCCAGACCGCCAGCUAAGGUCCCAAAAUAUUGCUAAGUGGGAAACGAUGUGGGAAGGCUAAGACAGCUAGGAGGUUGGCUUAGAAGCAGCCAUCCUUUAAAGAAAGCGUAACAGCUCACUGAUCAAGCGCCUCUGCGCGGAAAAUGUAUCGGGACUAAAGUUAUUCGCCGAAAUUGCGGACUCGAAAGAGUGGUAGCGGAGCGUUCCGUAAGCCUGUGAAGGUGAACCGUGAGGUUUGCUGGAGGUAUCGGAAGUGAGAAUGCUGACAUGAGUAGCGACAAACAGGGUGAGAGACCCUGUCGCCGAAAGACCAAGGGUUCCUGCGUAAAGCUAAUCUGCGCAGGGUUAGCCGGCCCCUAAGGCAAGGCCGAAAGGCGUAGUCGAUGGGAACCACGUUAAUAUUCGUGGGCCAAGGGAUGAGUGACGGAUUUCGAAAGUUGUAUUCCCUUAUUGGAUUGGGAAUGCAGCCUGGAAGUUCCUGGAAAUAGCCUCCCUAUUAGACCGUACCCGAAACCGACACAGGUGGUCAGGUAGAGAAUACUAAGGCGCUUGAGAGAACUCGGGUGAAGGAACUCGGCAAAAUUGUACCGUAACUUCGGGAGAAGGUACGCUCUCUUUGGUGAUCGGACUUGCUCCGUAAGCUGAGGAGAGUCGAAGUGACCAGGUGGCUGCAACUGUUUAUUAAAAACAUAGCACUCUGCAAACUCGUGAGAGGAAGUAUAGGGUGUGACGCCUGCCCGGUGCCGGAAGGUUAAUUGAUGGGGUUAGCGUAAGCGAAGCUCUUGAUCGAAGCCCCGGUAAACGGCGGCCGUAACAAUAACGGUCCUAAGGUAGCGAAAUUCCUUGUCGGGUA